UGGGGAAUAUUGCACAAUGGGGGAAACCCUGAUGCAGCAACGCCGCGUGAGUGAAGAAGUAUUUCGGUAUGUAAAGCUCUAUCAGCAGGAAAGAAAAUGACGGUACCUGACUAAGAAGCCCCGGCUAACUACGUGCCAGCAGCCGCGGUAAUACGUAGGGGGCAAGCGUUAUCCGGAUUUACUGGGUGUAAAGGGAGCGUAGACGGUUUUGCAAGUCUGAAGUGAAAGCCCGGGGCUUAACCCCGGGACUGCUUUGGAAACUGUAGGACUAGAGUGCAGGAGAGGUAAGUGGAAUUCCUAGUGUAGCGGUGAAAUGCGUAGAUAUUAGGAGGAACACCAGUGGCGAAGGCGGCUUUCUGGACUGUAACUGACGCUGAGGCACGAAAGCGUGGGGAGCAAACA
rnacentral:rRNA from 1 species